rnacentral:rRNA from 1 species
UGAGUAAUACAUCGGAACGUGUCUUCUAGUGGGGGAUAACUGCCCGAAAGGGCAGCUAAUACCGCAUGAGACCUGAGGGUGAAAGCGGGGGAUCGUAAGACCUCGCGCUGGAAGAGUGGCCGAUGUCCGACUAGCUAGUUGGUGAGGUAAAGGCUCACCAAGGCGACGAUCGGUAGCUGGUCUGAGAGGACGACCAGCCACACUGGGACUGAGACACGGCCCAG